GAUGAACGCUGGCGGCGUGCCUAAUACAUCCAAGUCGAGCGAACGGACGAGAAGCUUGCUUCUCUGAUGUUAGCGGCGGACGGGUGAGUAACACGUGGAUAACCUACCUAUAAGACUGGGAUAACUUCGGGAAACCGGAGCUAAUACCGGAUAAUAUUUUGAACCGCAUGGUUCAAAAGUGAAAGACGGUCUUGCUGUCACUUAUAGAUGGAUCCGCGCUGCAUUAGCUAGUUGGUAAGGUAACGGCUUACCAAGGCAACGAUGCAUAGCCGACCUGAGAGGGUGAUCGGCCACACUGGAACUGAGACACGGUCCAGACUCCUACGGGAGGCAGCAGUAGGGAAUCUUCCGCAAUGGGCGAAAGCCUGACGGAGCAACGCCGCGUGAGUGAUGAAGGUCUUCGGAUCGUAAAACUCUGUUAUUAGGGAAGAACAUAUGUGUAAGUAACUGUGCACAUCUUGACGGUACCUAAUCAGAAAGCCACGGCUAACUACGU
rnacentral:rRNA from 1 species